GACGAACGCUGGCGGCGUGCUUAACACAUGCAAGUCGAACGGAAAGGCCCUGCUUUUGUGGGGUGCUCGAGUGGCGAACGGGUGAGUAACACGUGAGUAACCUGCCCUUGACUUUGGGAUAACUUCAGGAAACUGGGGCUAAUACCGGAUAGGAGCUCCUGCUGCAUGGUGGGGGUUGGAAAGUUUCGGCGGUUGGGGAUGGACUCGCGGCUUAUCAGCUUGUUGGUGGGGUAGUGGCUUACCAAGGCUUUGACGGGUAGCCGGCCUGAGAGGGUGACCGGCCACAUUGGGACUGAGAUACGGCCCAGACUCCUACGGGAGGCAGCAGUGGGGAAUAUAGCACAAUGGGCGGAAGCCUGAUGCAGCAACGCCGCGUGCGGGAUGACGGCCUUCGGGUUGUAAACCGCUUUCGCCUGUAACGAAGCGUGAGUGACGGUAAUGGGUAAAGAAGCACCGGCUAACUACGUG
rnacentral:rRNA from 1 species